AGUGAACGCUGGCGGUAGGCCUAACACAUGCAAGUCGAACGGCAGCACAGGAGAGCUUGCUCUCUGGGUGGCGAGUGGCGGACGGGUGAGGAAUACAUCGGAAUCUACUCUGUCGUGGGGGAUAACGUAGGGAAACUUACGCUAAUACCGCAUACGACCUACGGGUGACAGCAGGGGACCUUCGGGCCUUGCGCGAUUGAAUGAGCCGAUGUCGGAUUAGCUAGUUGGCGGGGUAAAGGCCCACCAAGGCGACGAUCCGUAGCUGGUCUGAGGGGCUGAUCAGCCACACUGGAACUGAGACACGGUCCAGACUCCUACGGGAGGCAGCAGUGGGGAAUAUUGGACAGUGGGCGCAAGCCUGAUCUAGCCAUACCGCGUGGGUGAAGAAGGCCUUCGGGUUGUAAAGCCCUUUUGUUGGGAAAGAAAUCCAGCUGGCUAAUACCCGGUUGGGACGACGGUACCCAAAGAAUAAGCACCGGCUAACUUCGUGCCAGCAGCCGCAGUAA
rnacentral:rRNA from 1 species